CCAUAUUAGACACAUUAUCUGGAGUCCGCAUUCACCACCGAAGCCUCUUGCCAGUGAAAAUGACUGUCACACUAUUGAAGUGAUGCCUUCUGUUGAGGAGUUGUGGAAGGUCCCGGUGCUGCUAUACUGUAAUGUAUGGUAAGAGGCUGCUCCUGUUGAGGAGUCGCAGAAGGUCCUGGUGCUAAACUGUAAUGUAUGGCCUGAGGUUGCUCCUGUUGAGGAGUAGCCGAAGGUGCUGGUGCUGCUAUACUGUAAUGUAUGGUAUGAGGUUGCUCUGGUUGAGUCAUGGAAAGUCCCGAUGCUACACUGUAAUGUAUAGCCUGAGGUCCCUCCUGUUGAAGAGUUGCUGAAGGUCCCGCUGCUAUACUGUAAUGUACAGCC
rnacentral:lncRNA from 1 species